GUAGGAUUUCAUAUCUCUUAAAAAAACGAAUGUCCACUGACAAUCUAUGCAUUUCUUUUAUUGAACAUAAACGCAUAAGGAAACAAAAACACUUGCACUUAAAGUAUCGUACCUCGUUAGAAAAAUUUGAAGUACGUUCAAAAUCUUUUAUCCGCUUUGAAAAAUACCUGAUUAAAAUAUUCCAUAUAUGCAAAUUUUAUUUCCAAUGCUAUUCUCUCUCUUUCUUUCUUCUCUCUCUUCUCUCUCUCUCUCUCUCUUUCUUUCCCGUAUGUAUUGUAUUUAUUUUUGGUAGUCAAUGAUGAGGCUUUUAGCAUUGUAUUUAUAGUUGAAAAAGACAAUAGAAUUUUGGUGAAAUUGGGAUGAAAGAGACGUGUACCACCAAAUUGGAUAAAGCAAAACUUUUUUGAUAAAGCAAAUCAUGAUGUGAUUCGUGUACUUAAUUGUGAUAAAAAUAUAUAUAAUUAAUACUUAUCAAAUCAAAAGUAGAAUCAUGGCCAACCACUACAAUUACAAAUACAAGAUAGAAUUCAUAUAUAUCUACACGUGAAACUAUUGGCUCCAACUACACCAAAUCCUAAACCAAUUUAAAAUAACAUCUAUUCUUAGAACUGCAAUAUCUUUGACCUAACUUAUCCAAAUUAACUUUUUUUCUCGAGCCUAAAAUUUAUGAUUUAAUAUGAUCUAUCCAACAAGUCCAAUAUUAAUAUAUUAAAUCUUGAUCUGUGAAAAUCCAAUUAUUAGACCCAAAUAAAAUAUAAAUUUAUAUAAUAUACAAAAUAAAUAAAUUUUUAUCUAUAAAAUUGUUGGGUUGCUACACUCGGCUAAGACAGAUCGCUCCAACAAGGCUCAAUUUAGUUAAAAAUUGGCUUAUGAAUAGUAACAAACCCUACUCUUUUAUAUUUAGUUAGAUAAGCAUAUUUUUGACAAAGAACCAAUAAUUGAGGAGAUCAUAUUAUCCCAAUUUUGAUAGAAUGCAUAAAUAAAGGAUUUGAAAUUAGAUUUUUUUGCCAAUAUAAAAGACAAUAAAAUGCUAAUAUUCUAUACAUUAUAAUGUUCUACCUAAGGUCCCUUAAUCAAUAAAACAUUCAAAAUCGGGAAUAGAAAAGGGAAACGACAAUUCCUAAUGAUGCUACCACUAACUAUUCCACAAACAAAUCAUCACAAUUAAUUACUGGAAAAAGUUCUUUCUUUUAAGCUAAGCCAUAUACAAAAUAAUUACUAAAUUCAGUAACACUAAACUGCAUGCAAAAUUUGAAAAGGAAGGGAGAAAAAUCCAAACAUCACUUUUAGAAUGACCUUAAUAGCAACCUCCUUUAAGUAAACGAAAAAAAAAAAAAGUACGUUCCAAAUUCUUUUCACUUGAUGCAGCACUAAUUAGAUUGUCCUUAUUUCCUUUCUCUACAACUUCAGUGUCAUCAUCUCUGAUGAAUAAUGAAACAUAUUUCUCAAUAUUUGGAAAAAAAAAAAAAAAAAAAAAACCCCACGAUUGAUUACAAGAAAGUAACAUUCCUCAGCAAUUAAAUAUACAGACAUAAUUCAAAAAUUAACCAAACUUCUAAAGACUACUAAGCUUUUUUUUUUUUUUUUGCAGAUUCUUAUAUAAAACUAUGCCUACUGUAGAUUGUAUUUUGGCACCAUCAAGUAAGCAAAAAGUUUAAACAACCAUGAAGUACAAGCUUUAAUAAACUCCAAGUGUAAAACUUCUUGAUCUGGGAAAACAACUAACAGAUAUUGCAAGGAUUUAAUAAAUGGUCUUAACCGUCCACGACAAGUAUACCCAAAAUGAACUCUACCCACUUCUUCUCCCAGCUCGUACUCAUUAUAAAAAAAUUUCGUAGCAGUGUCUGAAAGUACAGAGCUUUUGAUGUGAUGAAAGUGAAAUUACUCAUUCAUAAAGAGAAAUCUAGAUUAGAGAAGCAAAAAUGAAGUUGUAAUUGCAUAUUCAGAAACAAACAGGUAGAAAGAGUAGCUUAAAUUGAAUUUGACCAUGGGAUUCGUAUAGUUAGAGGAAAUGUGGUGCCGACGGUUGGGAAAGACAAUGUAGUUGCUAGGGUCCGGCGAAGGUAAGACGGCCAUAGCGGUUUUGAAAAUGCAACCUGAUUGUAGAAGAAAAGAUUUUCAGAUCUAGGAAGAACAAAGAGAAAAACAACGCAAGAAAUGACAAUAAAUGACUAUUUUAGAAACCAAAAGAACACUAUGAUAUUUCCAACCGUUCCCCACCCAAAAAGC
rnacentral:lncRNA from 1 species